CCAUUAUGACGCCGGCGGCCAUGUCUGCCCCCACCUUUGGAAACGGUUUUAAAGGCAAUGAAAUCAUCCCCCUCGAAUCUUAUUGGCUCUCUUGGUGUUAGAGGCCCUGAACAUUUAUUUUAUACAACGUUUGACAUGUUUGAACGAACCUACAUGCGCGAGGAUUGCUUUCAGUAUGAAGUGCAGAGCUGCUUUGGAGAGAGCCAUAGGACGCGCGCUACCAACAUCAGGCUAAUGGAACGUGAAGUAUGGCCUUUUUGACCGAAAAUACAUCUGUUGUGGACCUGGGAUGCUUUCUGAUGAAGACAACUAAAGGGAAAAUACUUCUCCAUUGGUGGAACGCUGGGUGUAAGCUGUGCACCUGUGGAUGGAUGCUCUGGCCUCUGAUUUUGUCGGUUAGCUUAUCAAAGGACAACUCUAACCACACAGCCAAGACAACGCAGGAGUGGCUUCGGGACAAGUCUCUGAAUGUCCAUGAGUGGCCCAGCCAGAGCCCGGACUUGAACCUGAUAGAACAUCUCUGGAGAGAUGCUCCGCAUACAACUUGACAGAGCUUGAGAGGAUCUGCAGAGAAGAAUGGGAGAAACUCCCCAAAUCCAGGUGUACUAAGCAUCAUACCCAAGAAGACUCUAGGCUGCAAUCACUGCCAAAGGGAAAUGAACGGGACUCCCUAAAAGACAGCAAGUGAGCGUGGCUGCCUGGGCUUAGGAUGCAGAGCUCGUAUCCACGCCUACCACGGAGCACUCGUCGUGCCCAACACUAACUAAAGACGGACCUGAACCCUCCCUUCACAGAGACUGGAACCUGUGUAGAGAAAGAGAUUUAAUGGAGAGUUUAGGCCUUUUCUCCCAACUAAAAGUGGAAGAACUGAUGUCACGGGCAGACUCAACUACAUGUGGAUGAGUAUAGACUGUUGGAAAUUAAGAUGAAUGUUUGGUGGAUUAUUAUGCAAGAUGCCUUUUCAAAGAGGAAUUGCUAUUUUGGAGGAGAAACUUUUAAAUGCAGCUUUAUGUACAAAUGCAAAUCAUUUACCCACCCCAGCACAGGACAAUGAUUUAAGAUCAAGGGCCUGAUUACCUGCAUGUCCACCAAUGUUAUUUACAUGUUGAAAUGUACCUAUGGUCUGUCUUACAUAGAGAAAACCUGUAGAAGUCUUCAGACACAGAUCAGUGAGCACAAAAAAUAUGGUUGCUGCUCAUUUUGUACAAGCUGAACAUGCUAUUAGUUCUCUGAGAUACAUUGGAAUAGAAAUGGUCAAGAUGUCACGCAGGGGAGGGGACAAUGAGAGGAAACUUCUUCAAAGGGAAUCUUUCUGGAUCCACAGGCUCAACACACUGUCUCCUCUUGGCCUUAAUGUGGAGUUUGGAUUGAAACCGUUUUUAUAGUUUAAUAUUUCUAAAUUGUGUUGUUUUUAAUACUAAUUGAAUAUUGUGUGUAUAUUACUGUAAACAUUGAUCACAUUCCCUGUGCAUGAUCAUAUAUUUUGAUACAUCGAAUGUUAAUAUUGUGAAACUAUUGUCACGCACUGACCUGAGAGCCUUUUUAUGUCUCUAUUUAGGUUUGGUCAGGGUGUGAUUUGGGUGGGCAUUCUAUGUCCUUUUUUCUAUGUUUUUGUAUUUCUUUGUUUUGGCCUGGUAUGGCUCUCAAUCAGGGACAGCUGUACAUCGUUGUCGCUGAUUGGGAGCCAUACUUAGGCAGCCUGUUUUCCUUUGGGGUUUUGUGGGUAGUUGUUUUCUGUCUUGUGUGUUCACCUGGCAGAACUGUUGACUUUCGUUUUCUUGUGUUAUUUAAAGUGAUUCAUUAAAGUUAAUAUGAGCACUUA
rnacentral:lncRNA from 1 species